rnacentral:tRNA from 3 species
GGUAAAGUGGCUGAGAUAAGCGGUGGAUUGUAGCCCCAUAGACAGAGGUUUAAACCCUCUCUUCACCA